UGAUACGACACAAGUAAUUAACACUACAGCCCAAGAGAUGGGAAGGCCCAAUGAAGAGAGUGACACUAACAGGGAAGGCCCAAUAGAGGAGGGUCCAAUACUUGGCAAGAGGGUAUCUAAGAAACCACCCUGGAUGCAGGAUUUUGUAUGUUAUACAAAGAAGAAUCCAAAAGAAUAGAAAUAGUCACAAGCUGGUCAUGUUUUUCUUUUUGCAGUUUGUUAUUUCCCUUCCUUUAUUUUCGCAAGUUGUUGCUAAGUCACUAUAUAUAUGGUGUAAUUGGUAUCCAUUUGGAUUAUGCUGAAUGAAAUAGAAGAUUCUAUUCUCCCUUUUAACUUCUUCUUCCUUAAUUUCUUUCUUGGAGUACACACUCACUCGAAGAGUGCUAUUCUUAUACAAUCUGAGAAUUAGAGAUUGUAUCAU
rnacentral:lncRNA from 1 species